rnacentral:rRNA from 1 species
GGAUGUGAUCAUACCAGCACUAAAGCACCGGAUCCCAUCAGAACUCCGAAGUUAAGAGUGCUUGGGCGAGAGUAGUACUAGGAUGGGUGACCUCCUGGGAAGUCCUCGUGUUGCAUUAC